UGUGUUUUAGCAGUAUAUCACAGCUUGCAGGGUAGUAUUCCCUCUGUUGACCGAGUGGAUCUUCUAAUUUCAAGUUUUUGUUCAGAAGAAUCUGG